AUGUGUUCUGUGGAACAGUUUGGGAAAAACUGUUCCAGUAUUGGCUUUAAGUUUACUUCAGGCCGGGACUGGAUCGCUGGAAUUAUUUAUGAUCUCAUAAAUAAUUUGGAAACCAUUGCCAAGUCUGCUACUAAAGCAUUCAUGGAGGCUCUUCAGGCUGGUGCAGACAUCUCCAUGAUUGGGCAAUUUGGUGUUGGGUUUUAUUCCGCAUACCUGGUGGCAGACAAAGCGGUUGUGAUCGCAAAGCACAACAAUGACGAACAGUAUGCCUGGGAGGUUUCUGCUGGAGGCUCCUUCACUUUGCAUGUUGACCAUGGUGAGCCCAUUGGCAGGGAUACCAAAGUGACCCUCCACUUUAAAGAAGAUCAGAGUACUUAGAAGAGAGGUGGGUCAAAGAAGUCGUGAAGAAGCACUCUCAGUUCAUAGGCUAUCCCAUCACCCUUUAUUUGCAGAAGGAACAAGAGAAUGAAAUUAGUGAUGAUGAGGCAGAGGAAGAGAAAAGUGAGAAGAAGAGGGAGACAAAGAUGAUAAAGAAAAGCGCAGGAUCGAAGAUGUGGGUUCAAAUGAGGAGGAUGACAGAAGAAAACUACGAAGAUCAAAGAGAAAUACAUUGAUCAGGAAGAACUAAACAAGACCAAGCCUAUUUGAACCAGAAACCCUGAUGACAUCACCCAAGAGGAGUAUGGAGAAUGCUAAAAGAGCUUCACCAAUGACUGGGAAGACCACUUGGCAGUCAAGCAAUUGCUGUAGAAGGUCAGUUGGAAUUCAGGGCAUUGCUAUUCAUUUCUUGCUGGGCUUCCUUUGACGUUUUUGAGAACAAGAAGAAAAAACAACAACAUCAAACUCCAUGGCCAUUGUGUGUUCAUCAUGGACAGCUGUGAUGAGCUGAUACCAGUGUAUCUCAACUUUAUCCAUGGUGCGGUUGACUCUAGAGAUCUGCCCCUGCACAUCUCCCAAGAAAUGCUCUAGCAGAGCAAAAUCUUGAAAGUCAUUCUCAGAAACAUUGUUAAGAAGUGCCUCGAGCUCUUCUCUGAGCUGGUGGAAGACAAGAAUUACAAGAAAUUCUAUGAGGCAUUCUCUAAAAAUCUCAAGCUUAGAAUCCACGAGGACUCUACUAACCGACGCCACCUAUCUGAGCUGCUGCGCUAUCACGCCUCCCAGUCUGGAGAAGAGACGACAACUCUGUCAGAGUAUGUUUCUCGCAUGAAGGAGACAUAGAAGUCCAUCUAUUACUUCACUGGUGAGAGCAAAGAGCAGGUGGCCAACUCAGGUUUCGUGGAGUGAGUGCGAAAGAGGGGCUUCAAGGUGGUAUAUAUGAGAGAGCCCAUUGACGCGUACUGUGUGCAGCAGCUCAAGGAGUUUGAUGGGAAGAGCCUGGUCUCCGUUACCAAGGAGGGUCUGGAGCUACCUGAGGAUGAGGAGAAGAAAAAAAUGGAGGAGAGCAAGGCAAAGUUUGAGAACUUUUGCAAGUUCAUGAAAGAAAGCUUAGAUAAGAAGGUUGAGAAGGUGACAAUCUCCAAUAGGAGAUGCUGCUGCAUUGUGACCAGCAACUACGGCUGGACAGCCAAUAUAGUGUGGAUCAUGAAAGGCCAGGCACUUUGGGACAACUCCAUCAUGAGCUAUAUGAUGACCAAAAAGCACCUAGAGAUCAACCCCGACCACCUCAUUGUGAGACACUGUCACAGAAAGCUGAGACAGACAAGAAUGACAAGGCAGUCAAGGACAUGGUGGUGCUGCUGUUUGAAACCGUCCUGCUCUCUUCCGGCUUUUCCCUUGAGGAUCCCCUGACCCACUCCAACCACAUCCACUGUAUGAUCAAGCUAGGUCUGGGUAUCGAUGAAGAUGAAGUGGCAGCAGAAGAGCCCAGUGCUGUGGUUCCUGAUGAGAUUUCCCACUCCUGAGGGUGAUGAGGAUGCAUCUCUCAUGGAAGAAGUCGAUUAGGAGUUCAUAGUUGGAAAACUCAUGCCCUUGUAUAGUGUCCCAUGGCUCCAACUGCAGCCUCGAGUGCCCCUGUCCCACCUGGCUCCCGCUGCUGAUGUUUAGCGUUUUCUUUCUGUCCUGUCCUUGUGUUGAAGGCAGGAAACAAGGGUGUCAAGCCCCCAUUUCCUCCCUACUCUGACACCAGCACUGGAUGUUGUGUAUUGUGGAAUUUUUUUUAGUUUGUUCAUUUUGUUCUGAAAUUAAAGUAUGCAAAAUAAAGAAUAUGCCAUUUU